ACGGGUGAGUAAUGUCUGGGGGUCUGCCCGAUAGAGGGGGAUAACCACUGGAAACGGUGGCUAAUACCGCAUAACGUCGCAAGACCAAAGAGGGGGACCUUCGGGCCUCUCACUAUCGGAUGAACCCAGAUGGGAUUAGCUAGUAGGCGGGGUAAUGGCCCACCUAGGCGACGAUCCCUAGCUGGUCUGAGAGGAUGACCAGCCACACUGGAACUGAGACACGGUCCAGACUCCUACGGGAGGCAGCAGUGGGGAAUAUUGCACAAUGGGCGCAAGCCUGAUGCAGCCAUGCCGCGUGUAUGAAGAAGGCCUUCGGGUUGUAAAGUACUUUCAGCGGGGAGGAAGGCAGUGAGGUUAAUAACCUUACUGAUUGACGUUACCCGCAGAAGAAGCACCGGCUAACUCCGUGCCAGCAGCCGCGGUAAUACGGAGGGUGCAAGCGUUAAUCGGAAUUACUGGGCGUAAAGCGCACGCAGGCGGUCUGUUAAGUCAGAUGUGAAAUCCCCGGGCUUAACCUGGGAACUGCAUUUGAAACUGGCAGGCUUGAGUCUCGUAGAGGGGGGUAGAAUUCCAGGUG
rnacentral:rRNA from 1 species